rfam:Stegodyphus mimosarum contig29276, whole genome shotgun sequence.
GCCUUUGUGGUGUAGUGGUCAGCACGCUCGACUCGUAACCGAGAAGUCUGUGGUUCGAUACCCGGCGAGAACA